rnacentral:rRNA from 1 species
CCUACGGGGGGCAGCAGUGAGGAAUAUUGGUCAAUGGGCGUAAGCCUGAACCAGCCAAGUCGCGUGAGGGAUGAAGGUCCUAUGGAUCGUAAACCUCUUUUAUAAGGGAAUAAAGUGCGGGACGUGUCCCGUUUUGUAUGUACCUUAUGAAUAAGGAUCGGCUAACUCCGUGCCAGCAGCCGCGGUAAUACGGAGGAUCCGAGCGUUAUCCGGAUUUAUUGGGUUUAAAGGGUGCGUAGGCGGGCUUUUAAGUCAGCGGUGAAAGUGUGGGGCUCAACCCUUGACUGGCCGUUGAAACUGGGAGGCUCGAGUGUGUGAGAGGCAGGCGGAAUGCGUGGUGUAGCGGUGAAAUGCUUAGAUAUCACGCAGAACCCCGAUUGCGAAGGCAGCCUGCCAGGCCAUGACUGACGCUGAGGCACGAAAGCGUGGGGAUCAAACAGGAUUAGAUACCCCAGUAGUC